AUUGAACGCUGGCGGCAGGCCUAACACAUGCAAGUCGAGCGGAGCGGCGGACGGGUGAGUAAUAUAUCGGAACGUGGCCAGGAUGGGGGGGGAACUACUCGAAAGAGGGGCUAAUACCGCAUACUAUUUGGGCGGCCGCUAUCGGAGUAGCGAGUUGGGGGGGUAAAGGCGCACCAAGGCAACGAUCCCUAGCCGGUUUGAGAGGACGACCAGCCACACUGGGACUGAUACACGGCCCAGACUUCUACGUGAGGCAGCAGUGGGGAAUGUUGGACAAUGGGGGAAACCCUGACCCAGCCAUCCCGCGUGUAUGAUGAAGGCCUUCGGGUUGUAAAGUACUUUUGGCAGAGAAGCGGUAUCUGCAGAAUAAGCACCGGCUAACUACGUGCCAGCAGCCGCGGUAAUUC
rnacentral:rRNA from 1 species